GAGGUAAAAAAAAUAGAAUAAAAAGCAGGAGGAUUUGUAUGAAACUAGGAGGUUUGUGAUUUCGUGGGAGCUAGAGUCCCAGUGGCAGAGUCUCUCUCUAGUUUGAGCUUGGGACUUGGGAGUCAGAACUUACCUGGAGGAUCUCCUAGCCUUCAUUUAUAGAGGGGCUGAUGAGGUCGUUAGAGAGUUUGUUAGGCCGUUAGAGAAGUC
rnacentral:lncRNA from 1 species